UACGUAGGGUGCGAGCGUUGUCCGGAAUUAUUGGGCGUAAAGAGCUUGUAGGCGGUCUGUCGCGUCUGCUGUGAAAAUCCGGGGCUCAACCCCGGACUUGCAGUGGGUACGGGCAGACUAGAGUGUGGUAGGGGAGACUGGAAUUCCUGGUGUAGCGGUGAAAUGCGCAGAUAUCAGGAGGAACAUCGAUGGCGAAAGCGACUCUCUGGACGGCAACUGACGCUGAGGCACGAAAGCGUGGGGAGCAAACAGG
rnacentral:rRNA from 1 species